CCUACGGGUGGCUUCAGUGAGGAAUAUUGGUCAAUGGACGAGAGUCUGAACCAGCCAAGUAGCGUGAAGGAUGACUGCCCUAUGGGUUGUAAACUUCUUUUAUAUGGGAAUAAAACAUGGUAUGCAUCCCCUCUUGUAUGUACCAUAUGAAUAAGGAUCGGCUAACUCCGUGCCAGCAGCCGCGGUAAUACGGAGGAUCCGAGCGUUAUCCGGAUUUAUUGGGUUUAAAGGGAGCGUAGGUGGAUUGUUAAGUCAGUUGUGAAAGUUUGUGGCUCAACCGUAAAAUUGCAGUUGAAACUGGCAGGCUUGAGUACAUUUGAGGCAAGCGGAAUUCGUGGUGUAGCGGUGAAAUGCUUAGAUAUCACGAAGAACCCCGAUUGCGAAGGCAGCUUACUAAGCUGUGACUGACAUUGAUGCUCGAAAGUGUGGGUAUCAAACAGGAUUAGAUACCCUUGUAGUC
rnacentral:rRNA from 1 species